rnacentral:tRNA from 1 species
GCCCUGGUGGCACAACAAUUGAGCAUUUGGCUGCUAACCGAAAUGUUGGUAGUUCGAACCUACCCAGUGGCU